GGUAUUCCCGAUGUGGUGGCUGACGCUCUGUCUUGGUCAUUAUUGGGCAUACUUCGGUCAGAGGUGUCACGGGGUCGAUGUUAGGGCAGUGGAGGUGGUCGCCUGGUCCAACGGUCUGAUGAAGCUGGUCCGUGGGUUGCCCUAUGAGGUGGCGUGGGGCCCACUCCAGUAUGGCGGGAGUGAUCGGGACGGAUGGGGACGUUUCCUUGUAGGUUCCGGGAGUGGACUGCUCAUCUACA